rnacentral:rRNA from 1 species
UACGAAGGGGGCUAGCGUUGCUCGGAAUCACUGGGCGUAAAGGGUGCGUAGGUGGCGCUGUAAGUCGGGUGUGAAAUUUCGGAGCUCAACUCCGAAACUGCAUUCGAUACUGCGGUGCUUGAGGACUGGAGAGGAGACUGGAAUUCAUGGUGUAGCAGUGAAAUGCGUAGAGAUCAUGAGGAAGACCAGUGGCGAAGGCGGGUCUCUGGACAGUUCCUGACACUGAGGCACGAAGGCCAGGGGAGCAAACGGG